rnacentral:ncRNA from 1 species
UAUUCUUUACCGCCGGGUAAAGAAUUCAGCGUCAGACUUCAUAUCGUUAGGCCGUGGAAGAUAUGAAGUUCUGGCGCUUUUUAUUU